rnacentral:rRNA from 1 species
UACGUAGGGGGCAAGCGUUGUCCGGAUUUAUUGGGCGUAAAGAGCGUGUAGGCGGCCAGGUAGGUCUGCUGUGAAAACUCGAGGCUUAACCUCGAGCUGUCGGCGGAAACCAUCUGGCUAGAGUCCGGAAGAGGAGAAUGGAAUUCCCGGUGUAGCGGUGAAAUGCGCAGAUAUCAGGAGGAACACCGAUUGCGAAGGCAGCUUACUAUGGUUUUAUUGACACUGAGGCACGAAAGCGUGGGGAUCAAACAGG